UAACCUGUUCUUCCUCUCAGCCAUCCCUUCCUCCCACCCCAAGCCGCACCCCCAUCUACCUACUAACCUCAUCCCACCUCCUUGACCUGUCCGUCUUCCCUGGACUGACCUUUUCUCUCCUCUCCACCUUCGGUCCGCCUCCCCCUCUCUCCCUAUUUAUUCCAGUUCCCUCUCCCCGUCCCCCUCUCUCCCUAUUUAUUCCAGUUCCCUCUCCCCGUCCCCCUCUCUGAUGAAGGGUCUAGGCCCGAAACGUCAGCUUUUGUGCUCCUGAGAUGCUGCUUGGCCUGCUGUGCUCAUCCAGCCUCACAUUUUAUUAUUUUAGGAGAGAGAGCUGUUUUGGUUUGUGAUACAAGAGACGAGGCUGUCUAUGCCUUUCACCCAUCGGUCGCUCUCCUCCUGUCCCUGCCUCUAUGCACACACUCUGCCAGGCAUAGUCUUCCUCCCUCUGUGUGUGUGUGUCUCUCUCUCGCUUAAGCUCCUAAAACCUAAGAUGCAUCGGAUAUAAAAACACGCACAUAAACACACACACACACACACAUCAACAAGCCAUGGAGAAAGAUCAGGAAUUACUGCAAGCUGUCAAAACCGAAGAUGUAGCUGCAAUGCAGAAGCUGUUGCAAAGGCCGAAACAAGGCAAAGCGAAUUGUGAUGUUGGUAACGGGAAAGCCUCCAUUGUUGGAGGACGAGAAGCCGUAUCCACUUGAAGCAGCAUAGGCUUUUGCGAUGACUGUGGAAACCACUGCUUAUGCCUUGCUUCAAGCAUUGUCAAGGAAUGAUAUUGACUACGCAACACCGAUUGCGAGGUGGCGAACGAUGCAACAGAACUAUGGUGGUGGAUUUCACUCGACGCAGGACACAAUCAUUGCCUUGGAAGCUUCAUCAUGAUAGGACAUUGCAUUUCUGAAGAGGGAAGAAGAAAUCAACAUGCAAAUUCAAUUCCAUGGUUUUGGAAGUCCCAUUGAGAACACGAUUCAUGUGCGCUGGCAUAAUGCUCUGACCGAGAAAGAAUCGAAGCUUCCGCUUGGAAGAAAGAUUCACAUCAAGUUGACUGGUCAAGGAAAUGGGACACUGACUAACCAUACAAUUAGACUGUUUUGAUGUGGAACCUAAAGAUUACGAGUCCCGUCCGUUUGACUCAGAGUUUGGUACCAUAGGUUGGUACGAUCUUCGUUGGAGAAGGAAAAGGGAUGUUCCAGAUACAGAAAAUAGUCAAACCAUUUACUACAAAGUCCGUUUCUGGGUGGAGUUAGUGGAACCGAAAAAGAUGUCUCCCUCACAGCGUUUGUGACAAAAGAAUUGCAUUGUUCCUUGGCGGCCUUUCAACAGAAGAAUAUUCAGAGAUUUCACGAGUGAUUCUGAUGUUGGUAACUGGAAAGCCUCCAUUGUUGGAGGACGAGAAGCCGUAUCCAAUUGAAGCAGCACAGGCUUCUGCGAUGACUGUGGAAACCACUGCUUAUGCCUUGCUUCAAGCGUUGUCAAGGAAUGAUAUCGACGAUGCAACACCGAUUGCGAGG